GGUGGUGUGGUUUAGUGGUAGAAUGCCACGUUGUGGAGUAUCCCCUCGCCGGGAUGCAACAACGCCGUGUCGACCUGGGUUCGAUUCCCAGCACCGCCA
rfam:Zymoseptoria brevis strain Zb18110 contig321, whole genome shotgun sequence.